GUGCGCUUCUUCUUGGUGGAGGUGCGCACAGUAUUCGUGUCCACUACUCUUGUUCUUGCUGCUUUGCGGUAUGUACACACACACACACAGGAGCGGAUGAUAAGGGAACGCAAGAUUAAUGCACACCACCCAUGUUUGAGGGGUGCCUACAGCUGUGUCUUGAGUUUAUCGGCGCUCAGGCGCCAAAAGACGGCUGCUCCUCCGCGCAGCUGAGUGAGUUCAUCUGCGAAGACAUCCUUCCGUAUCAGGGCUGGGCCGCUAACGAUACCCUUCGCGACACCAUCGUACGGCUCUUGCUGACCACACACGUCAGCGAGUUCGAUGUCCAUGCAGCAGGGGCGAGGGACGACGGAGCGACGUCGGGCGCGCAGAGGGCGGACGCGGCUUCCAGCUCCCCGGGCAGCUGCGGGGGGCGAGACAGAGGGAAGGUGGCACCCGCACCUGCACCCAACGCAUCGAACGGAAAUCAACAGUGGCGUCGAAUUUCAGCGGACGAGGCCAUUGCUCUGCUGGACUUGGGUCGUAUUGCGUGGGCCGAGAGAGGGGAAGUUGGGGUCUGCGACCCGUGCGGCAUGCCAGGGCGGCAGGAGUCGCAGUCCUGUGCUCUUCCCAGAAGGGAUGGCGACCGCAGAAAGUUGCUCUUCUUUACCCCAUCUCACGCCCUGCGCGAGCGUGUCAUGGGCUUUUCCAUCACGAAUGAGAAACUGGAGAUGGUGUCCAGCUUCAUCGCGGAGAACGCCGUGCUUGGCUGGGAUCGAUUGCCCAGCACGCCAGAGUUCAAGGCGCGGUACAAGAACCACCUAGUCGGCAGCGGCCUCAAGUGGCUACGGCGGGUGCACAAGGUCGCGCCCGUGUACAUGUACCACGAGCCUUCACGCGAGGUUAUCUAUCGCUUCUUCCCGCACUUUGCGCUGCCACUGACGGAGCGGGAAAAGAAGAGGCAGCCGACGUGGGCGGUAGAGGAUGGGAGCGGCAGCCGCGCUGAAGCGUCCUCCUUGGGCGACGGCCGUGUUCCGUCUUCAUCCCGCGAAGAGGAACAGCUGUACGGGGAGUGGGGUCGCACUAGCGGCAGCGACGGUGGUGUAGUGCUUAGUUCGACUGCAUCAGCAGCGUCCGCGCCAUCGCUGCAGCAACGCCGCACCUGUCGCCUUUACUACCCCCUCGAUCACUACUACGCGCGCAAGCGCCGUCUGGAGGCGGCGUUCCCUAGCGUGACGUUCGACCUCCAACUGGUGCGCCAGCUGGUCCAGGAGUCCCCGGAGCGCCGGCUGCUGAUGCAGGAUGCCGUGCACGCCAUCCUUGCCGCCCACGGCCUCUUUCUCACCCGCUGGGAGGACUUCUCGCGGACUGAGCGGAUGCACCUGCGGCGCCUCAUGAGCUUGGCGGGCCUCAGCAUCGUGGUCGCCUCCAUCUCCCUGCGCGGACAUCUGCGUGAGCUGCGUUUAGUGAUUCCUUCUGAGGACCUUGUACGGCAGGUGUCCGCCGCAUCAACGUCCGCGUCGUCCUCCGCCCCUGUGAGGCCACGAGCACGCUUUCGCACCGGAGGGUACGACGUCGAAGAGGGAGAAGAAACACGCGAUUUGUACCCGAGCGGCAGUGAAAGGGACGACAACGACGCAGAGUAUGGCCAGGAUGGCGACACCAACAGCAGGGAUGAGGCUGCGCUGCGGAGACAGCUCGUGGCCGCUCAUGUGAUCCUGCGGGCAGACCGCGAGCCUGGCCGCGGUGGAGCGGCCGAGGAGCUGGAUCUUGAUCAUGAGGGGGAUGAGGCCAGGUACAGCGCCGGCGACGAGGACGACGACGAACAGGGCGUUGAAGCUCAAAGCCAGGCCGCGGCGCCGCUCUCGCACCCGUCGACUCGACACCAGCAGGCGGAGGCCGUGGCGGUGCUUCGUGUUGAGCCCAACCAGCCCCUAGAGCUACAGGCCGCCCACGAAGCGGAGCGACGCCCGCUGUCGCUCACCGCCGCAGUACCGCGUGUUCGGUUUCAUAUGCCGUACAAGCAACGGAGCAAAGCCCUUGGCGGCUUCCUCGAGAGGUACGCGAAGACGCGUGGCACACUGGUCACGCGGUAUCUGCUGCUGCGGCACACCAAGGUGCUCACGCUCGUGUACGCGCCGCGGCUACCGACGGGGUCGCCCGCGCAAGGUCCCUGCCCCGUCGAGGCCACUGCUGCGACCGUGGUAAAGAGAGAAGAACAGGGCGACCCACACCAUUCCGGUGAGGGAGUUGCGGUCGCAAAGGCGGCAGCGGCGCCCCUGCCUCUGCCUCGCACGCUUCACUUCGAGCCCAGCGAUCCGCGGCUCCCCAAAGGCCUGUCCGCCUAUUCAGUCAACACAGUGCUGGACGUGCUUGUGCAGGCUGCUCCUCACUACGCGGCGUCGGUGCCGCGGCUCAUACAGAGCAUCGACGUUUCCACCCUAAACCGACGCGUCCUGCCUUUCCUGCGCCACCUCAAAUACGUCCACACGACCGCAGUCGCCCAGCGUGGGCGGAAGCACGUGGGGCUGGUGGUCUUGGUACCUGCGGAGGGAGAGACGCGCCCCAGCACGCUCAGCGACACGGCGAAGCAGGGUGUGCUGGACGCUGAGGCUGCUGCUGCUGAUUUGGCAAGGAGGGUCGCACGACAGCCCGUGCCGCCGUCUGCGGCGAGCGGCAAGUCGAUUCCCUCGGAUAUGGUGUUGCAGAGCCUCCCGGCUGUGGCGGAGGGCGCCCGCCGAUCAACAUUGGGUGAGCGUCUCAUCGAGGUGCAUCCCGCAGCCACGAAGGCGGUAAAUCGAGUUAUGGCAGUGCGCAACGGCUACGCGCGGAGCUUGGUGCAGCGCAUGUCGCGGCUUCACCUCGAGCUGUGGUACCAGCACUACCGCUAUCCCACCGACGGUGCGGCAGCGGGUGCGGGCGGCGUGCGUGUGCGAGAGAUGUACACUCGCAUGACCCUUAGCACGUUUGUCGUCGUCGUUGGUCUUCCACAAGCCGACCUUGGGCGUUUGCUCGGGCGUACAGAUGACGUGUGCGGCUGGUCCACGCCCCUCCGUGAUCUCCCGCCCAGUGUGUAUGGAUGGUGCGUACAGCGGGGAAUGCAGAUGCUGUUCGCGUGUCUGCAGGGGCUGCACGACCGUCGGCUCAUCCGAUCAGCGCAGGGCGUCACCAACAGCUUCCUCUCCCCUGAGGCAUGCGACGACGUUGCCUACACGCUAGAACCGCAGUGCACUGUGGAUGGCUACACGCACUACUUCAUGUCCGCCCCACCCACCGCCGCCGCGUCGCUGUACGCGUGCAUGCGCUACUGGAUUCCGUUCUGGAGCGCGAUAGGGCGGCCGUCGCGCAGGCUCUCAUCGCAGCUCCUGGAACUGGAGUCGAAUGCUACGGUGGCGCAGGUGGUGGCGCUCUCUAAGGUGUUGCGACAGGACCCCAGCAUUUUGGCAGCGCAACUCUACCAAAGCGGUGGGCUACCACUGGAGUCGCGGCGCAGCACCAGCCUCGGCGACGUCGCCGCCGGCACAACGAGACGUGGAGCAGAGCUGCGAGGCGUAUCUGGCCGACGCAGCAUCUUUUCCUCUGCCUCUCUGUUUGUACGCGAGCGUCACGGCCGUGCGGAUGACGGAAACAGCACUUGUCCGACGGCGACGACGACAGCCAGCGGCCGUCACGUUGCGCGACAGCGUCCCCGCAAGGCGCCCCGUACGGAGAUCAGCGGCCCCACCGUUGCUGAGGCACUGGAUUCCGCAUUCCACCACUUUGCGCCUCUCAAGCGCGUAGAGGAGGUGAUCCGCCUUGUGCUGCGCGGCCGCAGCGUGCACCUCUCGCACCACCCACUCUUCUGUGUGCCAGCGACGCUGCCAGCAGUGCUGGUGCGGCGGCACGGAGGCGCGGAGGCCAGCAACACGCUUCUCUGUCCCGCCAGCGGCGGCGGCUGCGGAGGCGCGGCGACCCCUACGGAAUUCAGUCUGGCGAACGCUGGGCAGGGAGGCGGUGCGUACAAUCGGCUGGUGAGCACGUCGACGAUGCACAUGGCAGUACUCGCAGAGACGCUGCGCGCUGUGCGGAACUCGAACGCUACCCAUAGAGCCCCCCAGGUGCGGCACCCCUCGUCCAUAGAGACGCUUCGAGAAGAGGUGGAAAGCGUAUACGCACCACGGGCGGCGGCUUCUACCGCUGCUGCUGCCACCACCGAUGUCGCACCCGCGCAAUCAUGCGCUGCCUCGGCGCCUCUCUCACCACCUUUAGUCUCGCUGCGUCUGUCUCCGCAUACGUCAGAGACAUGCUUGUCUUCUCCGGCGUCGUCGUCGUUGCUGCAGCUGGAGGGCGGCUUUGAGGUGGUCGCCGAUAUGCUGCGCAUGAUUGUCUUCUGUGACCAGGCCCACUACCGCGCCAGCGUCGCGCGGUCCCUCUUGACGGCACUGAACGCACCCUGGCUGGUGUCGCGUGCGCGCGCAUUCCUGCAGCGACUGCCGGUGUUUCGCCGGGCGCGGCAGCAGAACAUCCGCGUGCCGCAGUUGUCGCUCGCGCAGAGCCCGUAUGUUUUACCGCUCAACGCACUGCGCACCGCACCACGCCCGUGCGCAAAUAUGGCUGUGCUGCACCAGUGGGCGCAGGAGGCGGACGCGGUGGGUGGGGCGGUCGCUGGAGGUCGCGAGAGCCCCGUGAUGCUGUGGACGCAUGCGGAGAUGAACUCGCUCCUCGCAUUGGGUGCGCAGGAGUCUUUGCAGCGCACGCCGCCACCGGCGCUGGAGCUCCUUCAUCAGCCCUCGAUGGAUCAAGCUCACAUGUCGAUGGCGAUGAACGCGGUGCGGGAGAAGAUGACGCGGCUGCCUUUGCCGCAGUUGGCGUGGCCGGCAGAGGCUGUCGCAUGCGAGGGGUUCCUGCGGCGGCAGCGCCCUGACGGCGCAGAGGGAACCGAGAUCGGCGAGACAGAUGUGGUCAUCGACACCGUCGCGGCACGACGUGAUGGCCAGCAUCGCAAACGGAAGCGCUCGUCCCUAGUGCGGGGUGGCAACGAAGAAUCCAGCGGUGAGGAAGACAAAGACAACAGCAGCGAGAGCAGCGACGACGACGGGGACAGCGUUGCGGUGACCCGCGCAGAAGAGGAAGCUGCCCGUCAGCUGUACCCGGCCCGCACUAUCCGCAACUAUGGCGACCCGCCGUACUUACAGGAUCUUCCGAUCGACGGCCCUCCGACCGCGGCGGAGCAGCGCGCUGUCGAGGCGUGCCGCGAGGAGCUCAGCAGCGGUGCAUUCGCAUCGUUUUCGCCUCUUCGUCAGCACCAUGACAGCAGCCGCAGCCGUGAUGGGUGUAGUCUGAUACCGUACCCUAGCAUCUUUCACCACGUGGACGGCAGUUGGCACUCGUACAUGUGGCAUCUCGUGGUGCACACUGUCUACCGCUACAUCUUGCGUGUGCCGGGUAUUCGCCACGUGGAUCUGGAGGGGCGAGUGUUGGCGAGUGGUGUGGUGAGCCAGCGGGCGCUGUGGGCGGUGCUGCAGUUUUUGAUUGACCACCAGCUUUUGCUGUGCCUCGAGGAGGAACUCGCGCAGCCCCUCUGCACCCCGGGCGGCGGUGUGCUCGGCGACCCGCCACGGCUGCGCAGUCCAUUUCAGCUGCGCAAGCGUUCUCGGCCUGACGCCGCGCCGUCGUUGCCGUCGUCCCUGUCAGCACCAGUUGGCGAGCGCGACAUUCCAUACCGGCGGAGGGAUGACGAUGCCUGGCUAGGCUGCAUUCGAGGCAGCUGCUGCUAUCAUCCUACCAUACCGUUAGAAGGGCUGCGCCUCGCCAUGUCCCCGCGUCUGCUCGACCCGCUGUCCCCGUAAAAUGUUUUCUGCUUCACAUAGAAUUCGAUGGUGUCACAAUCAGAGCGUGACGCGACCGGCCGCCGAUCCCGCGGCAUGGGGAGGAGGAGCUCACUGGUCCCUUUCCGAAGCCGCAAAGACCCGAUGAUAGUCCCACGUCCUGCCGCCCUGUGGCGCUGGCCACCGAUAUCCGCAAGCUGCUUGGGCACAUGAUCCUGCGACGGCUUGGCGGCCAUGUUGCAGACAGACUGCAACCACACCGCCACGGCUUCCGUCCCCACCGCUCCAGCGUAGGUCUCCCCGGGCUUGCCCCUCCACAAAGCAGCCCGGCACCAGGCAGACACCAGACAUGCGCAGCGUUUGUGGGCUCUAUGCCUGCACGCGUGGCUCGGCAGGUCGCGGCGCUACCAUUGCGGCGCUAAGGAGGUACUGUGUAGACCCGCGCCGCGCCCGCUGAGCCAACGGGCUCUCAGACGGUGGUUGCGCCCGCGGCCGCUUCCAGAAGAGGCCCGGGCUUGCACGCGUUGCUCCACAGGGGUCUGCCCAGGGCCCUCCUCCCCCCACCUCUAUGGCGGGCUCGCUGGGUGCGGGGGGUGGGGGAACAGUGCACCCGGGCUGCGCCACGCCUUCUUAGCUGAUACGCUCGCGCCCCCGCGCCCUCCGCAGACAAGGGCGUCGCGCCGGCCGCGCUGCCAUGCGCCCUCUGGGGGCGGGGCGCUUAGUGGGGCUCUGGGUGCCCCCCAAAAAAGGAUGUGCACCCGCCUUGGCGCGCGGCGCCGCAACCAACCGCAACUCCCCGCCGCACCAACGCGCUUGGAAAAGGGUCGCUGCCCUCGCCUUCCGGGCCUGGGCUUUUGCCAAGUGCGCGGCAUUGGCCACGGCGUCGCCGCGGCUAUGGGGGGGGUGGCCGCGGCUCGUCUUGGCGGGGCGGGGGCGGGGCCCGCCGAAGGACCCGCCCCGGUUCCCCCAGGUGGCGCUGCUCGAACCAAGGCUGCUCUAUGGCGCCGGCGCGUGGACGAACGGAGCUCGCCGAAACUGCUGGGGGGCCUUUGGGGGCUUUCACGCGAACGCGGCCGCAGUCAUCGCGGGCACCCCCCCCCUCGCGACACGCAGGCAACGGGAAUCCAACGAGAGAGGCGGGGGCACACUGUCCCUCGACAACGUGGCGCUGCUGCGCCGCAUCCGCCCGCAUCCCCCCGCGCCGACGCGAGGAGGCCACCUUGCAUAUUCGAUGCGGUGUGUGUGUGUGUGUGUGCGUCGGAUGGCGGUGUGGCCACGGCGCGUCGGCAGUUCUCGAGCGGCUAUACCGGCGUGGGCCCUUUCGGGGCACCGCACGCACACGCAUCGCCCAUGCGCAGCGUUCGCGUGUGGUCUCGCAUCUCUCUCCCUCGCGGGCUGUGUGCGGACACUCUCGUCGAGGAUAAAGCAGCGGCAUGCAGGCAGCGACCCUCUCGCCUCGCGAAGCGCCCAUGCUCGCUGUGGGAGGAUGGCGCGGUACAGACAGGCAUCCUGCCAGGAGCGGCCGCGACGCCUUAUUGCAACAGUAUGCCCGCAGGCGCGGCAGCGGCAGGCCGCGGCCAGCUUGCUCGCAGUUGUCGCACUGAGUGUCAAGCAGUGGGUCUGGAGCUUGAGCUGCAACGGCGACAGCUCGAUGAGCUCAGGCGCGAAAAGCUAAUGGUCGUUGCUGCUCCGGACUCGGUCUUUCUCCCCAUGGCGCUCGGCGCGGGCCCUAAAACGGCGGGGGUGAGGUGUUGCGGCGUGUUGGGGUGCAGAUGCCGGCGCUGCUAGCCCGUCGCGUGCGCCUCUCAUUUCCGUUUGCCUUUGGCCGUUGAGGAUGGGAGCACCGUGGCGAAGCUGACGAGCUUGCAAAAUCGGCAACGCCAGAGGCGCCGACGCCAGCUGCACGGAUCGCGGGCCUGGUCUCCGGUCGCAGAUGCCAGGCCGACAUCCCCCUUCAUCCGCACGGCAGACGCCUGCUGCCGCCGCCCUCGAGCGCAGGACCCUGGACGCGGCCCGCUGGGAUCAAGACAUGCAGUGCAGCCAGGUCCGUGCGGAGUCCGCCGCGCAGCGCGUACCCGACGAGGAGGCGAGGAAGGGCAGGAAGAGCUUGAUAGGUGCAUGACCCGAUUCGGUGGCAGGACGGCUUGUCCCAUGACGGCCAGGCGUUAGCGGCAGUGCCGCGGCGGCAGGCGAUCGGUGGCUGUGUGGUUGUGCAUGCGUAUCCGUUUGCUGGCUUGUUCGCGGGUGGAAUACGGACGCGUCGAAAAUGCUGAAGUCGAUGACGAUGGUGCCCAGCAGAUGCAGCUCGUGUGCGCCCGUAUGCCGAUGUGUGUGUGCGAUGCAGCAUGCAGGUUAGGCGCACUGUGGCACCUUUUCUCUUCGAACGCGAGAUGGAGGCGGCGUAGAGGCACUCAGUCGCCGUGCGCGUGGACUUGCAUGCGAAGGAAUGGAGCCACAUCCACGCAAAGGGAGUGGUGGGCGAAACCGGGGCCGCACCGAAGACGGAGAGGCAGUGGUGAUGGUGACCCUUGCGCUGCUGCCGCUGAUGCCGACCGUGCCAUCGCUAGUGUUGUUGAAUCUCUCCACUGCAGGCGCAAGAGACUCGGACAUUCCUGCUCUUCAUAGGCGUGCCCUCUCCACGUCUGCUCAGCACCGACGCGAGAGUGAAGCAUGUGCGCGUGUGGUGCGUCGGCGUGGGCGUGUUGCGCGCCUGUGAAGCCGCGCCUCAGGCCUGUUCAUGAGAGUGACCUUCCACUGCCUUCUCCUCUUCUCUCUGGUGCCUUAUGCACUUCCCAUGCGGACUUCUAACGGACAUCGAUACCCACGCCCACACACGCGCUUCUUUGCCGACCUGGAGUUUCUCUCUCCUGACUGUGCACCCUUUCUAUCAG
rnacentral:misc_RNA from 1 species